GACGAACCGUCCAAACGUUAUUCGGAAUCACUGGCUUAAAGGGUGCGUAGGCGGCCCGGAAAGUUGUGUGUGAAAGCCCUCGGCUCAACCGAGGAAUAGCGCGCAAAACUACCGGGCUCGAGGGAGACAGAGGUAAGCGGAACUUAGGGUGGAGCGGUGAAAUGCGUUGAUAUCCUAAGGAACACCAGGAGCGAAAGCGGCUUACUGGGUCUCUUCUGACGCUGAGGCACGAAAGCUAGGGGAGCGAACGGG
rnacentral:rRNA from 1 species